UCACUUUCUUUAAACAGGAACGAUGAUCACACUCUUUGUGGCUCUUUACUCUCUGCUUUGUCUCUGCACAACUGGAAACACUUCUGACAUCAAGCAGCUUCGGGUGAAAAUAGUAAAACUUGGACAAAAUGUAACUAUGGAGUGUAACAUUAGUGGGGUCAAAAACAAAAACAAUUUAGCUUGGUACAGACAGAGUUUUGAAAAAUUUCCUCAGUUUUUAGCGAGACCGUACAGUAACACCCUGGGCUACACGUUUGCUGAGGGAUUUAAUGAUAGCCGCUUCAGUGUUACUGUAAAUGACCAAAAGUUUGAUCUUAACAUUAAUGAAACAAGAGAAGAUGAUGGAGGAGAAUAUUUCUGUGCAGAAUUGGAGGGAGCUAUACUAAAGUUUACAUCUGGAACACGUCUGCAGUUUGAAGGUGAAGAGAUGAAACCCUGUCCUACACCUGGAACACUUAACAAGAACACACACUCUGUUACACACCAGGGUUCAAACAGCAGAGAUGGAGAAGGUAAGAGUUUUGUAACUAUGGUCUAUGGAAACUUCCUUUCAGGUUUUAUAUAAUAAUAAUUUAAUAACUUUACA